rnacentral:rRNA from 1 species
CAGUCGCCACGGUAAUACGAAGGGUGCAAGCGUUACUCGGAAUUACUGGGCGUAAAGCGUGCGUAGGUGGUUGUUUAAGUCUGCUGUGAAAGCCCUGGGCUCAACCUGGGAAUUGCAGUGGAUACUGGGCGACUAGAGUAAGGUAGAGGAUAGUGGAAUUUCCGGUGUAGCAGUGAAAUGCGUAGAGAUCGGAAGGAACAUCUGUGGCGAAGGCGACUAUCUGGGCCAUUACUGACACUGAGGCACGAAAGCGUGGGGAGCAAACAGGAUUAGAUACCCGCGUAGUCCCUGUCUCUUAUAC